rnacentral:rRNA from 1 species
AGUUGGUGGAGUGAUUUGUCUGGUUAAUUCCGUUAACGAACGAGACCUCAGCCUGCUAAAUAGUUAUGCGAAUCUCUCUACUCAAGGUAGCGGCGGCGGGGCGGGCUGGGGAGACCCGGACUGCUUUCGCCAAGGCGCCUGGUUAGAUUCGUAGGCAACUUCUUAGAGGGACUAACGGUGUUUAGCCGUUGGAAGUUUGAGGCAAUAACAGG